rnacentral:rRNA from 1 species
GAUUAACGCUGGCGGCGUGCAUAACACAUGCAAGUCGAACGAUGAAACUUUAAUGAACCCUUCGGGGAGAAUUAAAGCGGAUUAGUGGCGAACGGGUGAGUAACGCGUGAGUAACCUGCCUUACACAAGGGGAUAGCCUUUGGAAACGAAGAAUAAUACCCUAUAAAACCAUAAAAGCACAUGCAAUUAUGGUCAAAGUGAUAGCGGUGUAAGAUGGACUUGCGUCUGAUUAGCUAGUUGGUGAGAUAAAAGCCCACCAAGGCAACGAUCAGUAGCCGGCUUGAGAGAGUGUACGGCCACAUUGGGACUGAGACACGGCCCAGACUCCUACGGGAGGCAGCAGGGGGGAAUUUUGCACAAUGGGGGAAACCCUGAUGCAGCGACGCCGCGUGAUUUAGAAGGCCUUCGGGUUGUAAAAAUCUUUUGUAUAGGAAGAAAAUGACAGUACUAUACGAAUAAGGUCCGGCUAAUUACGUG